GGCUCCGGCCCUAUCAGCCUGAAGGCGCCCGAUCUCGUCUAAUCUCGGAAGCUAAGCAGGGUCGGGCCUGGUUAGUAUCUUGGAUGGGAGACCACCUGGGAAUCCCGGGUGCUCGAGGCU
ensembl:rRNA 5S_rRNA 5S ribosomal RNA